rnacentral:lncRNA from 1 species
AAAAAAAUGAAAUAAAGAUAUUAUGUCCAUCUACAACUAAGAAAUAUUUUUAAAAAAUAGGGCUGGGGAUGUGGCUCUGUGAUUGAGUGCCCCUGAGUUCAAUCCCCAGUACCCCUCCCCUCAAAAAAAUCUCUGAUCAGGGGCAGAACAGACAGACAUAUAACUAUUAAGACACCCAAGGAAAAUGUUGUUCAUUUAAUUUAUAUUAAUGAAGAAAUACAAAUUCCAUUUUUCUACACUCAACACAGAACACUUCUUUGGUCAUGGUCAAAUGGUGGGUUUUUUCCACACCAAGCACUUCAACUUUCUGCACACGAGCUGGGUAUCCUAUGAUUCACUUUUAACUUCUGAUAUUAUCAACCUGGAAUUUGAAUCAAAUCCCACAAGUUAAUGGCUCUGCCUCAUAAGAUUAUCCCCACUUCUGAUGCCAAUCACAAGUUCCAGAUUGUGACCUAUUUUUGACUAAGUGACUAUAAAAUCAGGGAUCUUUUAACCCUCCUUGCGUUUGGUAAUUUGCUGUGGUGGUGGAACAGAGAAUUCAGGGAAACUUUAUUUCAAUUUAGCCAUUCAUUAUAAAGGAUAUUACAACAGAUGCACAUGGACAGCCAAAUGAAGAAGUACACAAGAGUUGGUUCAUGAGCGUCCUCUGAGUGCAGGAAUUUCUAUUCCUGUAGAGUUGGAGUACAGAAUCUUCCUAGUUCAAGGAUUUAUUCACCAACCCAGAAACUCAUCAAAUCUGGGGCAGAAAAUAAAGUUAUGAGACUAAGAUAAAGCAAAUCCAAAGUAUAAUUCCUGGAGAUUUGUUUAUCCUGGUAGAAAGACGGAGUCUGUAGAAUGGGUAUGUAGGAUCUUUCAUCCUGCUAAGAGGCUGAUGUGUUAACAACUGUUAGGAAUUUAGAGCCUUUCAGAAUUACAAUUUAAAGUAUUGGGUCUUUAUAUACCCUAGCUGUGGUAUACGAUGAAGUUUUCAGUUCCAGUGACAACUCUUGAAUCCUUGGAAUUUUCUGAGUUUCUUUUGUUGUUCAUAUGAGCCUCUUCAGAUGGCCGCAGUUUAUACUGAGUUUAAGCACUUAGGAGAGGGGCCCAAAGGAAACCUCUGGAGGGGCCGAUCACGAGAAAGACCAGCUGGUUAGAGGGCUGGAACUUUCAGCCAAUGCAAAGACCUCUGGGAAGAAAGGAGAGAUUCUAGAGAUGUGAGGGUCAGGGAGUAGGAGUAAUAGGGAUUGAACCCAGGGUUACUCUUACUGAGCUACAUCCCCAGCCCUUUUUAAGACUGGGUCUUGCUAAGUGGCCCAGGCUGGCCUUGAAUUUGCAGUCCUCCUGCCUCAGUAUCCUGAGUAGCUGAGAUUACAGAUGUGCUGCAAUAUACCCAGAUAAGUUCUAUAUAAUCUAUAGUAAGUUUUAUAAAAACUCUUGAACAAGAUUUGAUAAUCAAGAACAACUCCUUCAUUAUUCAGAGAAUCAGAGGUUAUAUAUUCUACUCUUACCAUGUAGCAGUUUGAAAAAUCAGCAUCACUCUGACAUCACAAGUUUCCUUCUCAACCCUAAAUGAUCAUAGUUCCAUUUUAUUUUUUUUAAUAUUUUUUUUUUAGUUCCACAUAGUACCUUAUUUUAAUGUGGUGCUGAGGACUGAACCCAGGGCCUUGCACAUGCUAGGCAAGUGCUCUACCACUGAGCCACAACCCCAGCAGCCCCCAUCAUUCCAUUUUAAAAGCCUUUACUUACUAGCUUCCCACUCCAUUCCUUCCCAAAUUCUCUCUAUCAGAGCCUUUGCCUCUAAUGCAUUGAUAUCCAAGUUUAAAUGCAGAGAUGGUGAAUUUGCAGCAAUAAGGCAAAUGAGCUUUUGGGGAUACAGUUGAACUGCCUGGAGCUGCAAUAUUGAAACACAUUUCAAGAAUUCAAAGGUUAGCCAGACACGGUGGUGCACACCUAUAAUCCCAGCAGCUCGCAAGGCUGAGGCAGGAGGAUCACAAGUUCAAAGCCAGCCUCAGCAAUGUAAGGUGCUAAACAACUCAGUGAGACCCUGUUUCUAAAUAAAAUACAAAAUAGGGCUGGGGAUGUGGCUCAGUGGCCAAGCAUCCCCAAGUUCAAUCCCCAGUAACCGGCCCCCCCAAAAUAUUCAAAGGUUGACAAAUACCAAUUCCACCUGAGAUGUGACCAGAUGAAACCAUGAGCUGGUCUAAAAAGCUUGGAAAGUAUUCAAAGGAACCUAAAGACACAAUAUAAACAUAACAAAAGGAAGGCAAAGCAAGGAAACCUAAUAUAGAAAAUAGAAAGUAGGGUAAGGGAAAUGAAAUAGAGAAAAGCUUGGGACACAGUAGACCCUAGUCAGUAAACAGUAUAUUUAAGAAGACCUUACUGGGGCGGGGGUUGUGGCUCAGUGGCAGAGCGCUUGCCUAGUAUGUGUGAGGCACUGGGCUUGAUUCUCAGCAUCACAUGUAAAUAAAUAAAAUAAAGGUCCACAGACAACUAAAAAAAAAAAAUAAGACCUUACUGCCAAGCACAGUGAAUAACAGGCAGAGCUGGAGUACAAUGUUAAACAAUGAGACACAACAUACUAGAAAUUAAAACAGAACCUAAAGAGAUGCUUUUAGGGGGAAAGAAAACUUGCCCCAUAGAAGUCUGUGUUCCCACCCUAUGGAGAGAUAGGUAAUCAGAUCAUUGAUAUUAUGCACUGAAUAAUGAAUAUGGAGCUGGGAAAGCACAAACUAGCUGAGUGACUGAGUGACCUUUUCACCUUUCUUUACCUCAAUUUUCCCAUGCAUGAAAUGGGGUGACACUCCCAUUUCCAAAGUGUAGACAAAGUUGAGAAAACAUGCCAAAAGUAUUUAAAGCCCAAAUAAACGCAACUGCAUGACUGACAUCACUACUUAAACAUCUUAUAAGCAAUCUCAAACUUAGCAGUAGUUAUUUUGUGGUGCUGCGGAUUGAACCACAGUCUCAUACAUGCUAGGAGAAUGCUCUGGCGCUGAGCUGCAAGCCAGGCUCCAACCAUUGUAAACUUAAUAGAGCUAAGAUGAAAUUCUCAAUUAUCCCGGAGCAAAACCUGUUCUUCCUGUUUCCUACCUCAGUAAAUGUCAUAAUUUCAGUACUCUAUGGGAACCUUUCUUCCUUUCUUAUCCAGGCCAUAUAUGGGUCCAAUCCAUACAGAUUAACCUCAUAUAUACCGUAUCGUUAUUCAUUCACUUCCAUCUGCACUGCCGCCACCCUCUUCUAAGCUACAGUCAUCUUUCACAUCGUACUGAAGCGACCAAAAGGGUCUAUAGGUUUCUACUUUUGCCCUCUCCAAUCCAAGCAAGGGCUCUAAAGUCUUUAAAAUAUUUAGAGAAAAAAGCCAAACAGCUUAAAAAGCCACUACGUGACCCCUUCCCCUGCUGCUUCCUCAAACCACACUCCCCAACCCAUGCUCCAGCACUGGUUAAUUUUGUAGUUCCUCAGAUGUGCUAUGCGCCUCGCUAACCAACUUCUAUUCAUCUUUUACGCCUCAUUUCAGAGUUGGAUCUCCCAUCAUCCACACUCAGAGCCUUAAGUACAAUUUAUCUGUACAAUUAGAUUAUUACACCAAGAUAUUAGAAGCCGGGCGCGGUGGCGCACACCUGUAAUCCCAUAGACUCAGGAGGCUGAGACAGGAGGAUUUGCGAGUUCAAAGCCAGCCUCAGCAACUUGGCGAGCCACUUAGCAACUCAGCGAGACCCUGCCUCUAAAUGAAAUACAAAAAAGGGCUGGGACUGUGGUCCAGUAGUUGAGCACCCCUGGAUUCAAUCCCCGGUACCACCACCACCACCCCCCGCCAAAAAAACCCGAAAACGAUUAUAAACCAAACUAGACAGUAAAUUCCAACAGGGUAGGCACUGUUACCUGUCUGAUGCACUCCUGUAUCCUCAGGAAAACAGAAUGUAGCACACGGUCUGGGUUCAAAUAUUUGAAUGAACCUGAGAUGAGAGGGACCAAAUGGCCAACUAAAAAAAUUUAGCUCAAAUAGAAAAAAGUUCUAAUAUAUACAGCUACCAAUUUUGCUCCAGACCAAACAUACAUGGAGUCAAGACUAGACAGCUCAGACCAAACUAUAUACAUGGAGUCAAGAUACCGCACUCGUGCUUUCUUAAACCUCACACAAUUCCAAGUCCAGAGUGAACCCAUACAGAGCGACAAGGAACGUGCCUCCUUCGCCUCUGUGGAUGAGGGUCCCCGACCAGCUAGUUCAGGCUCCUGAUCCGGGCUCACUGGCCAGGAUUCUGAACACUAGUCCUCGAAGCAGUGACGCACACAGGCCCAAACACUUCGUCAGCGAAGUCGCUUAGCCCGAGACGUUCCUUUGAGCCUUCUGAAGCAACACUGGACGUGCGCGUCGAGCCCCAAGCUCCUCUCUGGUGUCGCAAAGCUUCAGGUGCCUACCCUGUUCACUCAAGAAAAAGCAAAAGACGACAACCCCCGUGCCUCGCCCUUUAAGAGCCGCCCCCAUUGGAGCCUGGCGAAGCUCUAAGCAAAUCGUCGCGAGAGCCGCUGGCUUCCGCCCGCUUCCUACUCUCUGCAUGCCGGGACGGAAGAAACGCGGUACUUCCCGCCCCCUGCUUCUACCUCACAAGGCAGUGCGGCCGCAGCUGCAACCAAUCACCAGGCCCGUUGUAGGCCGCGGCACAAAGGGCCAAUGGAAAGUCGCGGCGCGCGCAGAGCUUCUCUUCAUCAGAACCAGCCCCCUCCCUUCCGCCCGCCGCCUUCCACUCCGCCCCUGGCGGAGGAAGUGAUAUCACAGGCCC